CCUACGGGAGGCAGCAGUCGAGAAUCAUUCACAAUGGGGGAAACCCUGAUGGUGCGACGCCGCGUGGGGGAAUGAAGGUCUUCGGAUUGUAAACCCCUGUCAUGUGGGAGCAAAUUAAAAAGAUAGUACCACAAGAGGAAGAGACGGCUAACUCUGUGCCAGCAGCCGCGGUAAUACAGAGGUCUCAAGCGUUGUUCGGAAACACUGGGCGUAAGGCGUGCGGCGGCUGGUUUGUAAGUCGUGUGUGAAAGGCGCGGGCUCAACCCGCGGACGGCACAUGAUACUGCGAGACUAGAGUAAUGGAGGGGGAACCGGAAUUCUCGGUGUAGCAGUGAAAUGCGUAGAUAUCGAGAGGAACACUCGUGGCGAAGGCGGGUUCCUGGACAUUAACUGACGCUGAGGCACGAAGGCCAGGGGAGCGAAAGGGAUUAGAUACCCUUGUAGUC
rnacentral:rRNA from 1 species